GGAAGAACCCAAUUUUGGGACACAGCUGCAAGAAUGUCAGUAUUUGCAUCAAGGAAAGGGUGAGGGGUCCAUUGCCUAGUGGCCGAAUACAGCCGUUUUGUGGGAGGAGGCUCUUGUCUUCUUGCCCCACCACCAUUUUUCUUUAAUUUUAAUUUUAACUUUAAUCUUAACUUUUUCUUUUUUUUAAAGCAGGUUGAAUUCUCUCUUGAGAAAGUCAGUCUGUCUGUACGGAAGGAGCAGGACAAGCACUCAGACGUGAGUCCCAGCUUUGCAGCAGCAGAAUGCCAACAACAUCACCUGGACAUCCAUCAGAUACCACUCUUUCUUCAAGCAGAGUUUCCCACCUGUCUCAAACCAGUGGUUUUGGACAACCCUGCAACUACCUGCAAAUUAUGUUGGUGUUCUGCUUCUUCAAGUGUGUCUUCAUCAGCCUGAUGUCAGCUUCUUUCUUGUGGAGAUGAAGGUAUUUCUGGCUCUGUGAUCCCAUGGGUAGGACUAUAAAGCGAUUCAUGGUGACACUUGUGGAUGCUGGCUUAUGUGUUGUGUUGCCUGUUGUGCCUCCUUAUUUGCUUGUAGGUUGUGUGAUUUUUGCAGUUGGUCGUGAGUGGCAGGCUGCACUUGUUGGUUUGUUACUCUGGAGUUAUGCGUGUGGGCUGAACUGUUGGCAUUAAUUAUUUUUAAUAGUGAGUCAGACACUGAAUUUCAGGAUCCUUUCCAUGGAUAGAAGAACAAACAAAGAAACAAACGGCCCUCCUCUCCCACCCCCAACAUAAGUCACAUUUUGUCUCCUCUGACCUCAACCAGCCCCUUAAAUUUUGUAUCAAACAUUAGAAAGAAAGAGGUCAAAGUAAGAACCCUGUUGUAAAAAUAUAACACAGCCAACCCAUAUAUGAACUAUGGGAACUUGUCAUCUUAUCAUCCUAAUUGAAGUCAUUCUGCAGUGUAUGACAGUCCAUCAUAUAUUCUGCCAGUCAGUGUGUCAUACAUGAUGUGUAACGAGAGAGCUCAUAAACCCAGAGGGGAAGCCCCUUCUUUUUUAUUACUUUAUUUGAUCAUUUUCAUAAAAAUUCCCCUUGCACAAAACAGAGUGAUGUGUUUAUUAGCCACAUUAAAGCUUUGUCCAUUCUUUUGACACUGUGAUUUACACAGAUUUACCCACAAAAAAAAUCCCGUUAUUUCCAGUGUGGAGUGGUGUCUUUCUAAUUUUUAUUGUGUGAUGAAAUCUAUGUAUUUAAUGCCACAGGUGAUGGCAAAGAAAGAGGAGGUUGUUGUCGGAAGCUCAGAAGUAAACAAAAGGUUUCUUUAGGUAUAAUUGACUCAGAGAAAGAAAAUAUUCCCAGUCAACACAGAAAUAUAAAUAAAUAAAGAUGCUCUUCCCA
rnacentral:lncRNA from 1 species